GGAGGACGAUUUAAAUGUUGAAGCAGCAGCGACGGAGGUAGAGCUGGUGGAGGAGGAAGAGGAGACGCUUGUUAACAAAAAAAAUGCAUCAUCAAUCGUUUGGCAACAUUUUGGAUUCAACAAGGAUGAUAUUGAUCAAAAAAUUGUUAAAUGUAAACUCUGCAAAAAGACUGUUGCGUCAAGUCAAGCUUGGGCACGAUGCAGAGGAGGCUCUGGGUCUAACCUGAGUCACUAGUUUCACAGAGAUGAAAGCUUCUUCUGACUUUCCUGCUGAGCUCCUUUCCCUCCCCCCAUCCUCUGUUCCCCUUUGACCCCCCCUCCUCCACUACCUGCCAAUUAACGCCAAUCAGGGCAGCGGUGGGCUGAUGUGGCGAUGGUGGGGGGUGGGGGCUGGGACUGGGACCACCUGGCUAUUGCUUACAGCUGGCCUCUCCUCCGUACCUGUCAGGGCCGGCCUCUCUGCGGCACGGAGGAGCUGGAAAUCUGCAGCACCAAACGCGUGUCCACCAUGGUUUAUUAAUACCAGGACACACUUG
ensembl:lncRNA